CCAUGGGUGGCUCUAGAGCAGAAAAAAGGUGUGUGAAUAGGCUACACAUAGCUGCAGCGGAAGCCUGAGCACAGCCAUGACAGAAGAGUUCAGAUACGGUGUGAUGAAGAAUGGCUAGCAUGCCUGAUAGCACAGUACAGCUUGGGGCUCCGUGACAAAGUUCAAAUUAUUUCCAGGUUGCAGCACUAAUAUGCCUGGAGAAAAAGGGACGCAUAUGAGAACGUACCCCUCUCCCGACGCACUGUAACGAGGAGGGUUGAGGACAUCGCAGGAAAUCUUUGCAUCUACCUACAUAUGUGAACAGA